GUGCUUACUUCGGCAGCACAUACGCUAAAACUGGAAAGAUACAGAGAAGGAUAGCAUACUCCUGAGCAAGAAUGACACGCAAAUUUGUGAAGCAUUCCAUAAUUUU
ensembl:snRNA U6 U6 spliceosomal RNA